rnacentral:lncRNA from 1 species
GGUGGAUAGGGAUCGCGCUCAGGACGGCUUUGACGAAUGCGAGGCGACCCGCCUUGUUCAUGAGGUGUGCCUUCCAGCACGGGAGCAUACCGGCGGUCCUGUCGACGACGGGCUGUAGCUGGGUAGCAGUUGGGCGCCGUAGUGUCAGUGGGAUGCCCAAGUAGGUGAUGGGAAGGUCCACGAUGGGGCAUCCCAGCAGGUCGACAACAGGCGUGGCUGUGGCGGGGUCGCUGCGGAUCAGCGUGGCUGUGCUCUUCAGGAAGUUAACCUGGAGUCCAGGGGCGCGCCCGAAGAGUUGCAGGAUGCUCUUUAUCGCCUUGAUGUCGCCGCGCGAGGGGUGGCAGAAGAGGAUCACGUCGUCGGCGUAGNNNNNNNNNNUGCAGCGGAUCAGCGUGGCUGUGCUCUUCAGGAAGUUAAUCUGGAGUCCAGAGGCGCGCCCGAAGAGUUGCAGGAUGCUCUUUAUCGCCUCGAUGUCGCUGUGCGAGGGGUGGCAGAAGAGGAUCACGUCGUUGGCGUAGAGCGAGACGACGGGGAGUGAGCGGCGGGGGUGAAGUUGUC